UAGGGAGACUGCCGGUGCCAAACCGGAGGAAGGUGGGGAGGACGUCAAGUCUUCAUGGCCCUUACGGCCAGGGUUACCCACUUAUUCCAAGGGUCGGUACAGAGGGUUGCGAAGCCGGGAGUUGGAGCCAAUCCCAGAAAACCGAUUUCAGUCCGGAUUGGAGUUUGCAACUUGACUCCAUGAAGUUGGAAUCUCUAGUAAUCGCGAAUCAGGUAUGUCGCGGUGAAUACGUAGCC
rnacentral:rRNA from 1 species